rnacentral:rRNA from 1 species
AACGAACGCUGGCGGCAGGCCUAACACAUGCAAGUCGAGCGAACCCUUCGGGGUUAGCGGCGGACGGGUUAGUAACGCGUGGGAAUAUACCCUUUGGUACGGAAUAGCCUCGGGAAACUGAGAGUAAUACCGUAUGUGCCCUUCGGGGAAGAUUAUCGCCAAAGGAUUAGCCCGCGUUGGAUUAGAUAGUCGGUGGGGUAAUGGCCUACCAAGUCUACGAUCCAUAGCUGGUUUGAGAGGAUGAUCAGCAACACUGGGACUGAGACACGGCCCAGACUCCUACGGGAGGCAGCAGUGGGGAAUCUUAGACAAUGGGCGCAAGCCUGAUCUAGCCAUGCCGCGUGGACGAUGAAGGCCUUAGGGUUGUAAAGUCCUUUCAGAUGGGAAGAUAAUGACGGUACCAUCAGAAGAAGCCCCGGCUAACUCCGUCGCCACGCAGCCGCGGUAAGUGUCUAGCAUG